UGGUGGGUAGUUUGACUGGGGCGGUCUCCUCCUAAAGAGUAACGGAGGAGCACGAAGGUUGGCUAAUCCUGGUCGGACAUCAGGAGGUUAGUGCAAUGGCAUAAGCCAGCUUGACUGCGAGCGUGACGGCGCGAGCAGGUGCGAAAGCAGGUCAUAGUGAUCCGGUGGUUCUGAAUGGAAGGGCCAUCGCUCAACGGAUAAAAGGUACUCCGGGGAUAACAGGCUGAUACCGCCCAAGAGUUCAUAUCGACGGCGGUGUUUGGCACCUCGAUGUCGGCUCAUCACAUCCUGGGGCUGAAGUAGGUCCCAAGGGUAUGGCUGUUCGCCAUUUAAAGUGGUACGCGAGCUGGGUUUAGAACGUCGUGAGACAGUUCGGUCCCUAUCUGCCGUGGGCGCUGGAGAACUGAGGGGGGCUGCUCCUAGUACGAGAGGACCGGAGUGGACGCAUCACUGGUGUUCGGGUUGUCAUGCCAAUGGCACUGCCCGGUAGCUAAAUGCGGAAGAGAUAAGUGCUGAAAGCAUCUAAGCACGAAACUUGCCCCGAGAUGAGUUCUCCCUGAGACUUAGAGUCUCCUGAAGGAACGUUGAAGACGACGACGUUGAUAGGCCGGGUGUGUAAGCGCAGCGAUGCGUUGAGCUAACCGGUACUAAUGAACCGUGAGGCUUAACCUUACA
rnacentral:rRNA from 37 species